CUGAGAUCAGAGAUGGAGUCCUCUGAGGCAUGAAGCUUUCGGAGGGCUGUGAGGCAGAAGCAGUGCCACUCUGCAGCCGGUUGUAGCCACUGUCGCCCAGCCCUGGGUAGCUCUGCAGGGCAGCCAUGUUGCUUCUGGCACAUGGAGGGUAGUCAGACAGGUUGAGGUUGCAAAGCUGACUCUCCCGGCAACCAACAUUGAAAGUGUUGGGGGCCAGAUGGAAGGCUGGAGGGGAGCAGGAUGGAGAGAGAAGGUGAGAGGAAGCAGAGGGUGAUGGAGUCCCUGUGCUGGAGGUUGUUGGAGAGGUGCCUGUGCUGCCUCCUUGCUGCUUCUGCAUGGUGGUG
rnacentral:lncRNA from 1 species